UACGGAGGAUCCAAGCGUUAUCCGGAUUCAUUGGGUUUAAAGGGUGCGUAGGCGGAAUGAUAAGUCAGUGGUGAAAUCCUGCAGCUUAACUGCAGAACUGCCAGUUGAUACUGUCAAUCUUUGAGUACAUUUGAUGUGGGCGGAAUGUGUCAUGUAGCGGUGAAAUGCUUAGAUAUGACACAGAACACCGAUUGCGGAGGCAGCUUACUAUGGUUUUAUUGACGCUGAGGCACGAAAGCGUGGGGAUCAAACAGG
rnacentral:rRNA from 1 species